rnacentral:hammerhead_ribozyme from 1 species
AUCCAGCUGACGAGUCUCGAGUAAGACAAAACGAGCGUCCUGGAU